rnacentral:lncRNA from 1 species
CAUAUUCACAAGCCUCGGAUACAAUGGUUUUAGCCAGUGGUGGCCGCACAUUAAAAACCGAAUAUAAUGCAGCCCCCCCCCCCAAUAUAAUGCAGGCUCUCAAUAGCCAAUGCUUUUAUGUCUGGAUCACCUUACCUCCAAGAACUCAGUCAGGUUCACCUCGCAUUUCUCAAUGAGCACUGGUCUUGCUCGUAUGCUGACAGUGCAGUCAACACCUGUUCGUCUGAAUGUGCGCCCACAUACAUGGAAGAACGAGCUCUGGCUCAGCUGACUUUCAUUAGACUUUUGCUACCAGCCACAGAGACUCCAGUUAUAUGUUUGAAAUGUCAAAUAAGCGUUGUUAAAUUGAGACCACGUACCAAAAUUUUGUUAAAUAUUGAAAAAAAGCAUGGUUCUUAAUACAACCAAGAUCGAGAAACCAAAAUAAUUCAUUCAGAAGGACAGACUGAUGGGCUAGCUGUCAGGGCAUAACUCGGAACAUUAUCACAAAGAAUCACACAGACGGCGACAGGUAAAGGCGGGACACAGCGUAGCACGUACAAGGGGUAUACGAGUGCUGUGUCCCAUCUUUACCCGUCGCUGUCUGUGUGAUUCUUUGUGCUACUGUUCUGAGAUAACCAAUUCCAUAGAGCAGUGGUUCUCAGCCAUGGAUGUGUCGGGGACCCCUUGUGGACUGGUGGAAGUGAUGGGGGACCCCUUGCAGCGGAGGGGAGGGAGGGGGGGGGGGGGUUAUGUAGGUAAAUUAACACAACUGGAGCGGGAAACAGGUGCCUUUUAUUGCUACCAAAAACAUCAAACAAACGUGCCACAUCACUUCAUUUUGGACACUUCAUCAAUACGUGGCACAGUCACGCUUAAACAAAAAUACGGGUGAGGGUUUCGCGGAUCAUAGAAAUGGCUUCACGGACCCCCAUUUGAGAACCACUGCCAUAGAGGAUUUCAUUAAAUCAAGGUUCAUCAUAUCGCAGUUUGACUGCACCACAAUAAGUGCAUUUUUGUUUACAAGUACUUUCAUUAUUGGAGGUUUUUAGCUUGUACGUAUACUUUUCACAUUACCGUGUUACUGGAAUACCGGAUGGAAUCUUCGCAUGCGCACACCUUUGCACAACGUAGACUUGCUUUCACAGAACAUAAAGUCCUCUCUGGAUAUGUUUUGCGUUUAUGGUCACACCUCAUAAAUUCAGCUUCAUUCGUGGCUACUCGCGAUAUCCACUACUCCAGCCGCCAAGUCCAAAUAAGCCAGAGUGCAAGCGCCAAUUACGACCACAUUGUUUCAGCCCGAUUACUGAAGCUAGAGUGACCUAGAAUGCCGAAGCCGUAAACAGGAGAGGCCUAAAGCCCCUGAGGGGCUGGAUAGGUGGUGCCAUCUGGUGGGUCCGAAAUGAACCAGGCAAGCACAAAAUUGUUUUUGCAAAAACACAGUGCAUUCUUCUUCUGGUGUAAAAUCCUUGCAAUGGCAUAAUAACGAAUGAGUUGCCUUUUAAAUGCGAACCAUUUCUUAGCGAACUAUGGCACUUCAAGCGUUUCUGUCUG